UUUUUAUAUAUUAAACAACUUUACAAAAAUAUAUACAAAUAAACUUUCUAACAAAUGACAGUUUAAUAAUUUUACCCUGAAUAUUUUAAUGAGGUUUGAAUAUGCAAUAUUAAAUCUAAAGUGCAAACGUAAACAAUAAAACCAAAAAUUUUGUGUAAAAUAUUCUUUGUGUAAAUAAGUAGUAUUAACAAAAUCUAAGCUAAUUUUGGUCAUCAUCAGUUACUGGUUGUUCUAAUUUAUUCACAGGAACAUAGGGUAGUGCAGAGUUUUGCAGGGAGCUUGAUUUAUUAAUGGCAAUUUUCAUAAUAGCAGAGACUGGAGCCUCAAUAAGCAUCGACAAUGCAUAUGCAAUCAUAGUUGCCAUCACUAAUGUUG